UGUUCUUUCACUCCCAAGACCUGUAAUUGCUUUGGAUGCCAUAUCUAAAUCUUCAUAUUUUGCAUUAUUUUAUUUCUGGGGGUCAUCUCCUUGAUUCUGCUGAAGUGUGAAUGGGAAGAAGAAUAUCUGUUCUUCAUUUGUUUGUUUAUAAUUAUAUUAUUAUUUACAAGAAUACUAUUAGUGUUGACGGUUGCUAUUUCCAGAGGGAAUUGUGUAUA
rnacentral:misc_RNA from 1 species